UUUUUGUUUGUUUGUUGAUGUUUAGUUGGUACAAUAAGUUAUUUUCAAAUUGCCUUAUAGUUGCUUUUCUUAAAAACUGUAUUUUUAAAAUUUUGAGUGCAUAUUUUUGAAAAAAAAAAUAAGAAUAGUUAAAAAGUAAAAAAAAAAAUUGUAUAUUUAAGAAAAAAUCUAAAAAAUUUAGGUCUGUGUUGUGAACGAAGACCAAAGCCAUUGGUGGAUAUUCAACCCAAUACUCAGUUUGGACUUUCAGCUCUUGAGCCCAAUGGAACACUCCAGAAUAUAACAGGGUCUAAAUUAUAUUAAAGCAAUAAUAUAGGGGCAAUAUUGGAAUUUCAGUAGUGAGUCCUAUAAAUUGACGGCUAUCAAAGGCCUCCCUCACUCUGGUGCCCUAGUCCUUCAGUUUUUCACUAUAUAUAAUCAGUUUAAGCUGAAACCCUAACAUCAAAGCAGGAGGCUUAUACCUCUUCUCCCCUUCUUCCUCGUCCUCUGUAUUUUUAGGUUUGUCGUAGUACUCUUGCCAGCGAAACCCUGUCGGUGUUGUUUCAUUAUAUUCACCGGGCCUUUGAUUUUCCUUAUUUGAAUGGUUUUGCCUGUGCCUUUGCCUAUGAUGGUUUUUAAAUAUACUUUGAGAUUAAUCUCUAUGAAAAAGACUUAAAUCUGAGGCUUUUGAGGCUCUACCUCUCCUCUUGCAACUUUAUAUCUCCUUUUGUUGGGUAUGAAGCUUGAAAGGUCAAGUUUUUUGUGCUGUUUUGUCUACUCAAAUUAGAGUGAUGGGUUGAUAACACCAACCAAGGAAUUUAAUUUGUACGAGGCAUAAUGGUAAUAACAGGCAAAAUUUAAUAAUUGGAAGUAUAGUGAAGGCGCUCAUUUACUUUUUUCACAAUAGUGAUGGGUGUGAGUGGUGUAUCAGAUCAACAAAGCUUGAAUCCCCUUUUGAGAGUUGUUUGAACGUUUCAUUUCCUUCAUCGGAAAUAACAAGUUAAUUAAGUUCAGGAUCACUCUGAAUAUCAACAACUCGAGAAGUGGUUGGCAAUACUAUACAGCCGAUCCGUGAAACAAAUUUGCCGCCCGAUUAAGUGGUGGUACCUUUAAGAUAUCGUAACGCUGAGUGUGCUGAAGACAACCCGGUCUCCAAGGAAAAACCCUUUUUGGAAAAAAACUUUCUCCUGAAGUAUGAUACUAUCAGCCAAUGUCGUAGUUCAAAUUUUACAAUUGUCUUUGUUGGUUGAUUUUAUUAGAAUGUUUGAUUAUUAGUUUCUUUAAUUUUUGAAUAUUUUUUUAGAAAAAAUUAUUGAACUUUUAAAAUCAUAUAUUUUGUAAAUUGAUAAAUAAAUUGCACUAUAUUAUUGUUAAAGUGUAGUUUUGUAGGGAUAUUAUAAAUAGAUUAUUGGUAUAAUAUAUGUAAAUAUUACUACAUAGUGUAUAUCUCAUAAUUUUUUA